ensembl:lncRNA
CGGGACCGCUCCGCGCUCCGACUGCGCCGGGGUCCCAGAGGAGGUGGGGGGCCCUCGGCCUCCGGUUCACGCAGCGCUGCGCUGAGCCCGCGCUUUCGCCAGAGACCCGCUCCAAGUCUGCUGAGAGUCCGCAGACCGGGUCCUUCCUUCAUCCUGAGACAGCCGUCGUCCACAUUCCCUUUCCUGACAACCCUGAACGCCUCUGCUGGUCUCGAACAACCCCCACCCAGAUCCCACCGACUGUAAAUGGAUCUCCAGGUCUGAGGCGGUGGAUCUUCUUCUGGUCCAAAGCAGUGGCCCUUUGCCUGCUGCUGGCGGACCCCUGGCGACCACCUGAGCCCCCGCUGGCGACAGGACACAGCUGCUUUAGGCCUCGAGCUCCGUGGUCUCCAAACCUUUUACUUGUUUAUUUAAGAAUUUUGGAAUACUAUCCAUCCUCCCAUGCAUUUUUUAAUAUCACUCCGGAAAUUUUUCAUCCUAUGUAAAUAGAUAUAGAGGAUAUAAUCACUAAAAUUUGAUGUCUGUAGCAGGCAGCUUCCUCGAUGCCCCCACCCCAUCCCAUCUCCUGGUGUUUGCACCUGCUGUGCCUCCCCUCCCCACCUUGAGUGUGUGCUGGGCCCAGUGACCUGUUCUCAACAGCAGAAUAUAAAUAUGAUGAGACAAAAAAAAAAAGGAUGUCACCGAUAGGGUUAGGCUGUGAAAGACCUGGACUUGGGGUUGUUCAGCCCUUUCUGGGUUGCCGUGAGCUGCCUGUGGAGAGGCUGGGACGGCCAGGAGCUGAGAAAGGACUGGUCAACAGCCAGGAAGAAACCGAGGCCAUCGUUUCACCGUGACAAUGAUCAGGAAGCCUAGGAGCUGCAACUGCUGAGCCCACGUGCAGCAACUACUGAAGCCUGCCUGUUCCAGAGCCCAUGCGCCGCAAGACAAGCCACCGCAAUAAGCCUGCACACUGCAGUGAAGAGAAGCCCCCCGCUCACCCCAACCACAGAAAAGCCCACGAAGCAACAAAGACCCAGCACAGUCAAAAAUAAAUAAACACGUACAUAAACAAAAGAAACCACCCUGGCAACUCAGCCAACAGAACCCAGCCAGGGAGACCUUGAACUCUCACUUUUCUCCAAAAGACUUUCAUUCAAAACAACCCGUCCCAACUUCCUCCUUUUUCUUUGUAAAUGUUUCAUUCCUCUCUGGAUUUGCCCAUGGCUUUUUGCUAUAUAGCUUGCUUCUUCUGAAUUCCAUUUCCUUUGCUGUUCCUGAAUAAAU